rnacentral:rRNA from 1 species
AACGAACGCUGGCGGCAGGCCUAAAACAUGCAAGUCGAACGGGUGUAGCAAUACAUCAGUGGCGCACGGGUGAGUAACGCGUGGGAAUAUGCCCUUCACUACGGGACAACGUCGGGAAACUGACGCUAAUACCGUAUAAUGACUCCGGUCCAAAGAUUUAUCGGUGAAGGAUUAGCCCGCGUCUGAUUAGUUUGUUGGUGAGGUAACGGCCCACCAAGACUACGAUCAGUAGCUGGUCUGAGAGGAUGAUCAGCCACACUGGGACUGAGACACGGCCCAGACAGCUACGGGAGGCAGCAGUUAGGGAUAUUAGACAAUGAGGGAAAGCUUGAUCCAGCCAUGCCGCGUGUGGGAUGAAGGCCUUAGGAUUGUAAAGCACUUUCGUUGGGGAUGAUAAUGACCGUACCCAAAGAAGAAGCCACGGCUAAAUUCGUGCCAGCAGCCGCAGUAA